UACGUAGGGGGCAAGCGUUGUCCGGAUUUAUUGGGCGUAAAGAGCGUGUAGGCGGCUAGGUAGGUCCGUUGUAAAAACUCGAGGCUCAACCUCGAGACGCCGAUGGAAACCAUCUAGCUAGAGUCCGGAAGAGGAGAGUGGAAUUCCUGGUGUAGCGGUGAAAUGCGCAGAUAUCAGGAAGAACACCCGUGGCUAAGGCGGCUCUCUAGUACGGUACUGACGCUGAGACGCGAAAGCGUGGGGAGCGAACAGGG
rnacentral:rRNA from 1 species